UUUUUUCCCCUCAGGAAGAGGUAAAGGGACAACACUACUGGUAUUGGCUUCACUUUGUGUCCUUAAGGCCUCAGUUUACUUAUCCAUUAAGUGGGGUUGAUAUUGAAUUCUCUCUCAUUGGGAUUAAAUGAGAGAAUGCACACAGAAUGGUUACCCAAUGCCUGCUAAAUAAAAUGUGCGCUCAAUGUAUAGAUGCUACUUUUAUUUCCCCAUAGGAAAACCCUAAGGUAUCCCCAUUAUAUAAAUAUGGGUGAAUAAUGGCCUUGAAGAAAGGAAAAUUGGCCAUUGAUGUUUCCGUCAUGUGUCGAUGUCUGGAGACAUCAACGGCCAGUUUUCCUUUCCCAAAAUCAUCACUCACCCUGUAUAGCCAGAAGAGCCAAAGAUCACUUCUCGGACUAGACCCAGCAGACACAACCAUGGCUGAUUUUAUUAAAUCAAAAAGAGGAACAUUUGAAUCCAAGUCUGGCUCAAGCUGUGUAGGCAGGAAUCAACACAGACAUGCCUUGAACAGCUGAGGCCACCCUGGGAUGGCAUCAUGUGUUAGAAUAGGGACAUAAGGACAUGCACCCCCACCUUCCUGACUAUGAUAUUGCUUCAGAAAUGGUUCUACAGGAGUUCCUGCUGGGGUGCAAUGGAAUUGGUGGCAUCUCUGGGGCGUUGGGGUACAGAUUUGAUCCCCUGCCCAGCACAGUUGGUUAAAGAUCCUCUGUUGCCACAGCUGUGGCUUAGGUCUCAACUGCAGCUUGGAUCUCAACUGUGGCUUGGAUCUGAUCCCUGACCUGGGAACCCCAUAUGCCAUGGGGGGAGCCAAAAAAUAAGAAAAGAUCUCCAAACCCUGGAAUCAACCAGCUCUGGGUGUGAAUUCCAACUUCACAGUUUACCUAUAGCUUGACCUUAGGUAAACUGCGUCAACUCUUUCCCAUCAUGGCUCAGAGGUUAACAAACCUGACAAGUAUCCAUGAGGAUGAAGGUUUGAUCCCUGGCCUUGCUCAGUGGGUUAAGGAUUCGGCAUUGCUGUGAGCUGUGGUAUAAGUCACAGAUGAGGCUCAGAUCUGGCAUUGCUGUGACUGCGGUGUAGGCCAUCGGCUACAGCUCCAAUUUGACCCCUGGCCUGGGAACCUCCAUAUGCCGAGGGUGUGGCCCUAAAAAGAC
rnacentral:lncRNA from 1 species